rnacentral:tRNA from 1 species
UGGGGUGUCGGCAAGCGGUUAAGCCUGCGGGUUUUGGUCCCGCCAUCGAGGGUUCGAAUCCUUCCACCCCAG